rnacentral:lncRNA from 1 species
GAACUUAGUGAGACCCCCCAUCUCAAUUAAAAAUAUUUUAAAGAAUGAUUGUUUUGCCAUUAUAAGCCAUCUGCAAGCUGAGGAGCAAGGAAGCCAGUCCGAGUCCCAAAACCUCAAAAGAAGGGAAGCCAACAGUGCAGCCUUCAGUCUGUGGCCGAAGGCCUGAGAACCCCUGGCAAACCGCUGGUGUAGAUACAAGAGUCCAAAAGCUGAAGAACUUGGAGUCCGAUGCUUGAGGACAGGAAGCAUUAUUUUUUAGUGAUUUAUUCUGAUUCCUCAAGGCACAAAGGCAGUGGAGAAACAUGGAGGAGAGCUUGUUUACCAACACAUGACUGCUCCAUUCUCAAAAGUCUCUUCCCCUGCCAUGGGAAGAAGGCAGCCCGCAGCUACUGGUUGACAUCCCACCACCUAGGCUACCACAGUGGAAAGUGAGUAUCUCUUUCCCAGAAGUUCCAGGAAAUGUCCCAGAGUUGGGUCUCAUUGGCCUGGCUUGGAUCUCAUGCCCAUUCGUGACAUAGCAACUGAGGCCAGGGUGUGGA